UGCUUUAACAUGCAGUCGAACGGCAGCGCGGGUGACAACCUGGCGGCGAGUGGCGAACGGGUGAGUAAUAUAUCGGAACGUACCCAAGAGUGGGGGAUAACGUAGCGAAAGUUACGCUAAUACCGCAUACGAUCUACGGAUGAAAGUGGGGGAUCGCAAGACCUCAUGCUCCUGGAGCGGCCGAUAUCUGAUUAGCUAGUUGGUGAGGUAAAGGCUCACCAAGGCGACGAUCAGUAGCUGGUCUGAGAGGACGACCAGCCACACUGGAACUGAGACACGGUCCAGACUCCUACGGGAGGCAGCAGUGGGGAAUUUUGGACAAUGGGCGCAAGCCUGAUCCAGCAAUGCCGCGUGAGUGAAGAAGGCCUUCGGGUUGUAAAGCUCUUUUGUCAGGGAAGAAACGGCUGAGGUUAAUACCUUCGGCUAAUGACGGUACCUGAAGAAUAAGCACCGGCUAACUACGUGCCAGCAGCCGCGGUAAUACGUAGGGUGCAAGCGUUAAUCGGAAUUACUGGGCGUAAAGCGUGCGCAGGCGGUUUUGUAAGUCUGACGUGAAAGCCCCGGGCUCAACCUGGGAAUUGCGUUGGAGACUGCAAGGCUUGAAUCUGGCAGAGGGGGGUAGAAUUCCACGUGUAGCAGUGAAAUGCGUAGAGAUGUGGAGGAACACCGAUGGCGAAGGCAGCCCCCUGGGUCAAGAUUGACGCUCAUGCACGAAAGCGUGGGGAGCAAACAGGAUUAGAUACCCUGGUAGUCCACGCCCUAAACGAUGUCUACUAGUUGUCGGGUCUUAAUUGACUUGGUAACGCAGCUAACGCGUGAAGUAGACCGCCUGGGGAGUACGGUCGCAAGAUUAAAACUCAAAGGAAUUGACGGGGACCCGCACAAGCGGUGGAUGAUGUGGAUUAAUUCGAUGCAACGCGAAAAACCUUACCUACCCUUGACAUGUCAGGAACCUCCGAGAGAUUGGAGGGUGCCCGAAAGGGAACCUGAACACAGGUGCUGCAUGGCUGUCGUCAGCUCGUGUCGUGAGAUGUUGGGUUAAGUCCCGCAACGAGCGCAACCCUUGUCAUUAGUUGCUACAUUCAGUUGGGCACUCUAAUGAGACUGCCGGUGACAAACCGGAGGAAGGUGGGGAUGACGUCAAGUCCUCAUGGCCCUUAUGGGUAGGGCUUCACACGUCAUACAAUGGUACAUACAGAGGGCCGCCAACCCGCGAGGGGGAGCUAAUCCCAGAAAGUGUAUCGUAGUCCGGAUCGCAGUCUGCAACUCGACUGCGUGAAGUUGGAAUCGCUAGUAAUCGCGGAUCAGCAUGUCGCGGUGAAUACGUUCCCGGGUCUUGUACACACCGCCCGUCACACCAUGGGAGCGGGUUUUACCAGAAGUAGGUAGCUUAACCGCAAGGAGGGCGCUACCACGGUA
rnacentral:rRNA from 1 species